AAGAUUAAGCCAUGCAUGUCUAAGUACACACUUUGGUAAAGUGAAACCGCGAAUGGCUCAUUAAAUCAGCUACAAUUUAUUAGAUCGUACACUGUUACUUGGAUAACUGUGGGAAUUCUAGAGCUAAUACAUGCCGAGAGUCUCUGCUCUUCGGGGCAGAGCGCAGUUAUUAGACCAAAACCAGCCGUAUCUUUCGGGGUACGCUCUUUUGGUGACUCUGGAUAACCUUCAGCCGAUCGCAUGGCCUCGUGCCGGCGACGUAUCUUUCAAGUGUCUGCCCUAUCAACUUUCGAUGGUACGUGAUAUGCCUACCAUGGUGAUAACGGGUAACGGGGAAUCAGGGUUCGAUUCCGGAGAGGGAGCCUGAGAAAUGGCUACCACAUCCAAGGAUGGCAGCAGGCGCGCAAAUUACCCACUCCCAGCUUGGGGAGGUAGUGACGAAAAAUAACAAUGCGGGACUCUAAGAGGCCCCGUAAUUGGAAUGAGUACACCUUAAAUCGUUUAACGAGUAUCAAUUGGAGGGCAAGUCUGGUGCCAGCAGCCGCGGUAAUUCCAGCUCCAAUAGCGUAUAUUAAAGUUGCUGCAGUUAAAAAGCUCGUAGUUGGAUCUGGGGCUUGAGGUCGCUGUCUAUCGUUUCGGCGAUGACGGUGAUGCUCAGCUCUGCUUGCCGGUGACUGUUGCGGUGUUCUUAAUUGAGCGCUGUAGCAGCACGGCACGUUUACUUUGAAAAAAUUAGAGUGCUCAAAGCGUGCUUGUCGCUUGAAUAAUGUUGCAUGGAAUAAUGGAAUAGGACCUCGGUUCUAUUUUGUUGGUUUUCGGAGCUUGAGGUAAUGAUUAAGAGGGACGAACGGGGGCAUUCGUAUUGCGGUGUUAGAGGUGAAAUUCUUGGAUCGCCGCAAGACGGACUACUGCGAAAGCAUUUGCCAAGAAAA
rnacentral:rRNA from 1 species